rnacentral:rRNA from 1 species
UACGUAGGGUGCAAGCAUUGUCCGGAUUUAUUGGGCGUAAAGAGCUCGUAGGCGGCUUGUCACGUCGGGUGUGAAAACUCGGGGCUCAACCCCGAGCCUGCACUCGAUACGGGCUAGCUAGAGUGUUGCAGGGGAGACUGGAAUUCCUGGUGUAGCGGUGAAAUGCGCAGAUAUCAGGAGGAACACCAAUAGCGAAGGCAGCUCGCUGGGACGUUACUGACACUGAGGCGCGAAAGCGUGGGGAGCGAACAGG